UACGAAGGGGGCUAGCGUUGUUCGGAUUUACUGGGCGUAAAGCGCACGUAGGCGGAUCGUUAAGUCGGGGGUGAAAUCCUGGAGCUCAACUCCAGAACUGCCUUCGAUACUGGCGAUCGUCGAGUCCGGAAGAGGUGAGUGGAACUCCUAGUGUAGAGGUGGAAUUCGUAGAUAUUAGGAAGAACACCAGUGGCGAAGGCGACUCACUGGUCCGGUACUGACGCUGAGGUGCGAAAGCGUGGGGAGCAAACAGG
rnacentral:rRNA from 1 species